GGAAAGAAGACCCUGUUGAGCUUGACUCUAGUCUGACGUUGUGAAAUGACAUUUGAGGUGUAGAAUAAGUGGGAGAUUCGUCGUUCUUGAAAUACCACUACUCAGAUCGUCGUUUUACUUAAUUCGUGACGUGGUGAUGCGUGUGAUGAUAAGUCGCACGUGUUUUCGUUCGCAAGGUUGUUGUUUUUUUGAUGACAAUUGAUCCAAGCGAAUGACAGCGUCAGGUGGGGAGUUUGGCUGGGGCGGCACAU
rnacentral:rRNA from 1 species